GCACAACCGGGGAGGGUCAUUGGAAACUGGGGAACUUGAGUGCAGAAGAGGAGAGUGGAAUUCCACGUGUAGCGGUGAAAUGCGUAGAGAUGUGGAGGAACACCAGUGGCGAAGGCGACUCUCUGGUCUGUAACUGACGCUGAGGCGCGAAAGCGUGGGGAGCGAACAGGAUUAGAUACCCUGGUAGUCCACGCCGUAAACGAUGAGUGCUAAGUGUUAGAGGGUUUCCGCCCUUUAGUGCUGCAGCAAACGCAUUAAGCACUCCGCCUGGGGAGUACGGUCGCAAGACUGAAACUCAAAGGAAUUGACGGGGGCCCGCACAAGCGGUGGAGCAUGUGGUUUAAUUCGAAGCAACGCGAAGAACCUUACCAGGUCUUGACAUCCUCUGACAACCCUAGAGAUAGGGCUUCCCCUUCGGGGGCAGAGUGACAGGUGGUGCAUGGUUGUCGUCAGCUCGUGUCGUGAGAUGUUGGGUUAAGUCCCGCAACGAGCGCAACCCUUGAUCUUAGUUGCCAGCAUUCAGUUGGGCACUCUAAGGUGACUGCCGGUGACAAACCGGAGGAAGGUGGGGAUGACGUCAAAUCAUCAUGCCCCUUAUGACCUGGGCUACACACGUGCUACAAUGGGCAGAACAAAG
rnacentral:rRNA from 1 species